GAGUUUGAUCCUGGCUCAGGAUGAACGCUGGCGGCGUGCUUAACACAUGCAAGUCGAACGAUGAAGCCCAGCUUGCUGGGUGGAUUAGUGGCGAACGGGUGAGUAACACGUGAGUAACCUGCCCUUAACUCUGGGAUAAGCCUGGGAAACUAGGUCUAAUACCGGAUAGGAGCGCCUACCGCAUGGUGGGUGUUGGAAAGAUUUAUCGGUUUUGGAUGGACUCGCGGCCUAUCAGCUUGUUGGUGAGGUAAUGGCUCACCAAGGCGACGACGGGUAGCCGGCCUGAGAGGGUGACCGGCCACACUGGGACUGAGACACGGCCCAGACUCCUACGGGAGGCAGCAGUGGGGAAUAUUGCACAAUGGGCGAAAGCCUGAUGCAGCGACGCCGCGUGAGGGAUGACGGCCUUCGGGUUGUAAACCUCUUUCAGUAGGGAAGAAGCGAAAGUGACGGUACCUGCAGAAGAAGCACCGGCUAACUACGUGCCAGCAGCCGCGGUAAUACGUAGGGUGCGAGCGUUAUCCGGAAUUAUUGGGCGUAAAGAGCUCGUAGGCGGUUUGUCGCGUCUGUCGUGAAAGUCCGGGGCUUAACCCCGGAUCUGCGGUGGGUACGGGCAGACUAGA
rnacentral:rRNA from 1 species